UGGGGGAGGAAGGCUCUUGGGUUGUAAACCUCUUUUCUCAGGGAAGAAAAAAAUGACGGUACCUGAGGAAUAAGCAUCGGCUAACUCCGUGCCAGCAGCCGCGGUAAUACGGAGGAUGCAAGCGUUAUCCGGAAUGAUUGGGCGUAAAGCGUCCGCAGGUGGCAUUGAAAGUCUGCUGUCAAAGAGUCUGGCUCAACCAGAUAAAGGCAGUGGAAACUACAAAGCUAGAGUACGUUCGGGGCAGAGGGAAUUCCUGGUGUAGCGGUGAAAUGCGUAGAGAUCAGGAAGAACACCGGUGGCGAAAGCGCUCUGCUAGGCCGUAACUGACACUGAGGGACGAAAGCUAGGGGAGCGAAUGGGAUUAG
rnacentral:rRNA from 1 species